GGACUCGCACAAGCGGUGGAGCAUGCGGUUUAAUUCGAUGCAACGCGAAGAACCUUACCAGGUCUUGACAUCCCGCUGACAGCCCCAGAAAUGGGGUCUUCCUUCGGGACAGCGGUGACAGGUGGUGCAUGGUUGUCGUCAGCUCGUGUCGUGAGAUGUUGGGUUAAGUCCCGCAACGAGCGCAACCCUUAUCAUUAGUUGCUACCAUUAAGUUGAGCACUCUAAUGAGACCGCCGGUGACAAACCGGAUGAAGGUGGGGAUGACGUCAAAUCAUCAUGCCCCUUAUGACCUGGGCUACACGCGUGCUACAAUGGCCGGUACAAAGAGUCGCGAAGCCGUGAGGUGGAGCUAAUCUCAAAAAACCGGUCUCAGUUCAGAUUGUAGUCUGCAACUCGACUACAUGAAGGCGGAAUCGCUAGUAAUCGCGAAUCAGCAUGUCGCGGUGAAUACGUUCUCGAGUCUU
rnacentral:rRNA from 1 species